AUCACUUCUCGGCCUUUUGGCUAAGAUCAAGUGUAGAAUCAGAUUGCCUACUUUUGAAUCCUAGCUUCUCAGUUUACUGCUAACCUGCAGUAUAAUCUUAGGGUUAUUACUUAAGCUAACUUCUUUAAGUUUAAGUAAUUUUUU
rnacentral:snRNA from 1 species